GCCGCCUAUGAUGGCGCCCAUUUCCUGCUUCCGGGUUCUUCCCGGCCUGAACAAGCCCGCCAAAUUGUCAUGUCUGCCCAGUUACCCGUGACGCUAGCCUAUCAGCUUGUUAGACGCGCUUCUCUGUGAUUGGAUACUGCUUCCCCUUAUAAGAGGUUGUUCCUGCCCCCAACGGGCGGAAGAGGAACCAACGUUGAGGGUGGCGGACCUUGUUAGGUCCGGUUCGCUGUACGCAAUAAAGUUUGAGAGCUGAUCCUGCUCGAGUUUGGUCUCCUGUCUCCCGCGGCUCCGGUCAUCUGGUGGCCCGUACGGGGAAAAAGGUAAAAGACUCAGCGACGUGCCUCUUCGGCCGGGAGGUGCGAUUGCUGUCGCCUGCGGUACGACGGAGGACCUGGCCCAAUAACAACGGAAGGCCGCGAGCACCUCUUCUCUUCACCCUGAUCAGCUACGUGAGAUACAGCGGUUCCCGGGACAGGAACCAGGCUGCGAACCGCUGUGGGUCCCGGAAAGAUUGACGCGAGCAGUAAACUCCCCACCAGUUCCUGAUAAAGCACAGGAGGAUAAGCCCGCGGACACAAGUCAACUCGACCCUUCUGGGACCGACGCUCAGCGCCCGAGACCAUCUACAAACUAAAAUGUCUGGUUUGGAGCUUUUUCUAUUCUGUGGGUUCCUAUUAAUCACCCCUGUUCGCACAAAGUCCCUCAUAGUCGGUCAGGAACUUGACAAUAUGGACGGUAUCCAACUAGGUCCAGUCAGGUUCGAUUUAUCAACUUUAGGCAGUGUUAUAGCCAGUUUGUGGGAACGCGUCACCUCCUGGUUCUCCUGGCCCAACCUGACUACUUGGAUCCUGAUUGCCGUGGCCAUCCUAGUGGGGCUUGUGGUUAUUAAAUGCUUGUUAGAUCGCCUCAUACAAACUCAGCAGCAGGUUAAGAUCACAGCCAUGGCAGCCAUGCAAAUGGCAGCAGGUGGCUCAUCAGGCCAGCAGGCCACCGCAUAUCUCCUUCACAUUGCAGAACAUCAGCUAUAAGAGCUGAGUGGGCAAGCCAAUGACGGGUAAGACGGGAAAAGCCCUCCCGGUCAACCUAAGACAGGCUCCACUCAGAUAUACAUGGCCUAUAAGGCCAGGGGUCCCUCCUGGAGUCAAAUUAUUGGCAUUGAGAUGCGAGACCAAGGGUACUGCAGUGCCAUCCGCCCCAAAGGUUGGGGGGAAGGCAGGAAUGAAUGUCUAUAUGCAUCCAGGUUCGGUUCACAAAAGCCUGGCCCUGCGAAAAAAUGAACCACUCACCUUGAGCAUGGUCCUGGCACAAGGAUAUGCACAAAACGGGGUGAUGCACAGCAGGGUAUAGACCUCUACAUUCUCUCAUGCCUCGGCCUACAAGGUAGGCCCACUCCUAGGUGUCUAACAGCAACAAGGUCAUAGACACCUUGGAGGGACCCACAGACCAUCCUAUUUUAAUAAAUAAAAAAGGGGGAGAUGUGGGAAGCCGCCUAUGAUGGCGCCCAUUUCCUGCUUCCGGGUUCUUCCCGGCCUGAACAAGCCCGCCAAAUUGUCAUGUCUGCCCAGUUACCCGUGACGCUAGCCUAUCAGCUUGUUAGACGCGCUUCUCUGUGAUUGGAUACUGCUUCCCCUUAUAAGAGGUUGUUCCUGCCCCCAACGGGCGGAAGAGGAACCAACGUUGAGGGUGGCGGACCUUGUUAGGUCCGGUUCGCUGUACGCAAUAAAGUUUGAGAGCUGA